AAUAUUGGACAAUGGUGGUAACCCUGAUACAGCAAUGCCGCUUGUGUGAAGAAGGUCUUCGGAUUGUAAAUCACUUUAUGUUGGGAGGAAGGGCAUUAGGUUAAUACCUUGAAGUUUUGACGUUACAAACAGAAUAAGAAACGGCUAACUCUGUGGCAGACGCCGCGGUACUACAGAGGGUGCAAGCGGUAAUCGGAAUUAGUGGGCGUAAAGCGCGCGUAGGUGGUUCAGUAAGAUGGGUGUGAAAUCCCCGGGCUUAACCUGGGAACUGCUUUCAUAACUGCUGAGCUAGAGUACGGUAGAGGGUAGUGGAAUUUCCUGUGUAGCGGUGAAAUGCGUAGAUAUAGGAAGGAACACCAGUGGCGAAGGCGACUACCCGGGCUAAUACUGACACUGAGGUGCGAAAGCGUGGGGAGCAAAC
rnacentral:rRNA from 1 species